UGUGAGGUUAAGCGACUAAGCGUACACGGUGGAUGCCCUGGCAGUCAGAGGCGAUGAAGGACGUGCUAAUCUGCGAUAAGCGUCGGUAAGGUGAUAUGAACCGUUAUAACCGGCGAUUUCCGAAUGGGGAAACCCAGUGUGAUUCGUCACACUAUCAUUAACUGAAUCCAUAGGUUAAUGAGGCGAACCGGGGGAACUGAAACAUCUAAGUACCCCGAGGAAAAGAAAUCAACCGAGAUUCCCCCAGUAGCGGCGAGCGAACGGGGAGCAGCCCAGAGCCUGAAUCAGUGUGUGUGUUAGUGGAAGCGUCUGGAAAGGCGCGCGAUACAGGGUGACAGCCCCGUACACAAAAAUGCACAUGCUGUGAGCUCGAUGAGUAGGGCGGGACACGUGGUAUCCUGUCUGAAUAUGGGGGGACCAUCCUCCAAGGCUAAAUACUCCUGACUGACCGAUAGUGAACCAGUACCGUGAGGGAAAGGCGAAAAGAACCCCGGCGAGGGGAGUGAAAAAGAACCUGAAACCGUGUACGUACAAGCAGUGGGAGCACGCUUAGGCGUGUGACUGCGUACCUUUUGUAUAAUGGGUCAGCGACUUAUAUUCUGUAGCAAGGUUAACCGAAUAGGGGAGCCGAAGGGAAACCGAGUCUUAACUGGGCGUUAAGUUGCAGGGUAUAGACCCGAAACCCGGUGAUCUAGCCAUGGGCAGGUUGAAGGUUGGGUAACACUAACUGGAGGACCGAACCGACUAAUGUUGAAAAAUUAGCGGAUGACUUGUGGCUGGGGGUGAAAGGCCAAUCAAACCGGGAGAUAGCUGGUUCUCCCCGAAAGCUAUUUAGGUAGCGCCUCGUGAAUUCAUCUCCGGGGGUAGAGCACUGUUUCGGCAAGGGGGUCAUCCCGACUUACCAACCCGAUGCAAACUGCGAAUACCGGAGAAUGUUAUCACGGGAGACACACGGCGGGUGCUAACGUCCGUCGUGAAGAGGGAAACAACCCAGACCGCCAGCUAAGGUCCCAAAGUCAUGGUUAAGUGGGAAACGAUGUGGGAAGGCCCAGACAGCCAGGAUGUUGGCUUAGAAGCAGCCAUCAUUUAAAGAAAGCGUAAUAGCUCACUGGUCGAGUCGGCCUGCGCGGAAGAUGUAACGGGGCUAAACCAUGCACCGAAGCUGCGGCAGCGACGCUGAUGCGUUGUUGGGUAGGGGAGCGUUCUGUAAGCCUG
rnacentral:rRNA from 1 species